GUGGAGCAUGUGGCUUAAUUUGACUCAACGCGGGAAAUCUUACCGGGUCCGGACACACUGAGGAUUGACAGGCAAUAUUAAUACAUCAGCUCUUUUUUAUUAAAGUCUGUGUAUUAUGUUAAAUAUGCUAGUCCUUUCAUGAUUAUGUGAUAGGUGGUGCAUGGCCGUUCUUAGUUCGUGGAGUGAUCUGUCUGCUUAAUUGCGUUUCACUAAGGGCCUAUAAAUUUACGUGUGUUGCGGCACUUUGACCCCUCUCUGAGCGCGCGUCUUAGUUUGCUUUGCUCGCACAAUUAGGUCCUGAAAGCAACGAACGUGACCGCAACCUCUUGUUGCCUUUAUUCCAAACAUGUUUGCCAUUUUAAAUGGUAUUCAUGAAAAAAGGCUUUUUAAACUAGAGGGACCGCUGUUACUUUCUUAAACCAGAGGAAGGUUGCGGCAAUAACAGGUCUGUGAUGCCCUUAGAUGUUCCGGGCUGCACACGUGCUACAAUGAUUAUUGCAGUGAGCAUCUCAUUUUUACACACCGCAUGCGCGAGUCCAUUUAUUCACCUCUCUGAGGCGCUUUAAAUGUGUACCUCUGCGCGCGGUAAAGCCUACUUCGAGAGUAAGUGGGUAAUCAAUUAGAAGUAAUGAUUUCCUUUUUAGCACACAUAUAUACGGCGUCUAUGCCCGGGCUGCCUUGUUGUAGCUUUUGUGCGUAUAGAUGUUUUUUCCGUAUGUGCGAUUGUCAAUUCAUGGUGGGGACAGACCAUUGUUAAUUGUUGGUCUCGGUCUUAACUAGGAAUGCCUUGUACGGGUCUUUGGUUCAACAAACCACCCGGAAUACGUCCCUGCCCUUUGUACACACCGCCCGUCGCUCUUACCGAUGGACUUCUCUGUGAGUUUGAGGGACUGGGAACGCAGAUUUUAUCUGCACACCUAUGGAAACUUAAACGAACAGUGUGGUCUAAAG
rnacentral:rRNA from 1 species